AGCGACCAAUCAUUUGAUGAGACAUGACCUCUUCACAUACAUGGUCUGUAGGCGUUCAUGGAUGACGGACACACUAGUUCCACAUGCCCAUUCAUAUUGGAUAACAGCAUGCAUUUCCAUUGGCGACCACGUUGUCAGUACAUGUCUGGCUGCCAUCGUGAUUUGUACUCGAAUAACCUCAGGCAUGCCUGUCUGCUGCUAUUCUCUCUUCUUCGGCGCACUGCACAUGUGUCAUUUCUCCUCUGCUGAUGCUCCUUCCCUCAUUGACCAGCAACAGAUGUGAAUUCUUAUGGCAAUUAUUUGUUUCACCUGGUGUACUAUCUUCUCUUUCAAAAAAAUGACGAAACUUACUUUCGGAAAACCCUCGUAUCAUACAAAC
rnacentral:lncRNA from 1 species